rnacentral:ncRNA from 1 species
UAUAAACCGUGGAUGGGGAAGUAAAACCGCAUGACCAACCUCAAAGAGAGUCGAGUAGGGUGGAAGCUUGACAGGUAACGGAGCGGGUAAAUGGGCCUCAGAGGGUGGAACGAAAAAGCGCCUUGCUUUAGUAGUUACCAACGCAAAGCCAGCGUUAUCGGGCUGAGGGUGUGUUGGCACUCUGCAUGAGAGGAUGCAUGUAUAUUUAUGCAUCAAUUAAGGUGGUACCGCAGAUUAACGUCUGUCCUUAUU